GACAAUCUGUCCGAGUGGUCAAGGAGUGAGUCUAGAAAACUCAUGGGCUCUGCCCGCACAGGUUCGAAUCCUGUGGUUGUCG
rnacentral:tRNA from 1 species